UGUAUAUUGAUUUAUGAUGAUUUAAAGCGGCUGGCGUAUUAUUGUUGAGUUGUUGUACUGAUAGAGAAGUGAAAUGCGUUGGGUAUAAAUUACUCAGUACUUAUACAGUGUCGAUAAUAUGGUGUGAUGAGAGAUGAUGGUGUUACAAAAUAUUUACUGAGCUACUUUGGGAAACGAACCGAUGAUGUAAAAACAUUGGAAACAUAUUUCAUGAAAAUGCAUGUGCUUAUAUGUACUAAAUAUGAUAUUGCUUUACUUGUAUUUGCAUGUCGUUAACAUUUCUAUUUUAUUUCAGUAUGCUGUGGUGAGUAUUGCAGAUUUAACUUGUAUGUGUGGUUUUUAGUUAACGAUGCUUAAUGAAAACUAUUAUUGUACACUUAGUAUGGAAUGAUGUGAAUGAUGAUAUGAUGGGUAGAAUUAAUCAGUGCUUGUGUCUAGAAAUGCUGAAUGUUUAUUGAAAAGGCUAAAUGCUAGCCAAAACUAACAGUUGAGCUACCGUGGGGAUGUCAAACGAAUUGAUGGUGUAAUAUGAUGGUGUAUCGACAUACUUUUCUUAUAUGCACUAUAUUUGAUACAUGUAUUGGUUUACAUUUUUUGCAUGCUGUUACAGUUUUUGUUUCAGUGUGCUGUGGUAAGUACUGUAGAUAUUACUUGAUUUUUAGUGUCUAUGAAUGCUGAUGUAUGAUAGCUAUAGCAUGAGCUCAAUGCUAACCAGUAUUAUGAGUUGAUGUAUUGUGGUGAUGCUAAUCGAACUGAUGAUGUAACAUGAUGGUGAACACUUACUGAAUGCAUACAAUUUAUUGAAUUGCGUUUGUUGAUAUGCACUAUAAUAUGAUUAAUGUAUUGCUUGACAUGUAUUUUUCAUGAUGUUUAAUUUCAGUUUGCUGUGGUGAGUACUGUAGAUUGUAUUGCCUAUGUAUAGAAUUCAAUAAAAGAUUAUGACUGAAAACUGCUUUUGAUUCUUUUUGUACAGUUUUAGGGACUAUAAGUCUAUAACAAAAAUAUGUCGGUUUAUGUUCAUGAGUGUGGGCUUAAUACAGCAAUGUUUGAGUAGUACAGAAAUGUUUCUUCGUUUGUGGUCGCCAGUUGUCUGUGACUUGUAAAGUGAAAAAUACGCAUAGCUUUGAAUGCAACAACUAUUUACUGUUUUAACAAAGAUUGUGUACUAUGCAUGUUUUGAUGUAGAUCUUUUCAGAUUUGACAUAAAAUGAAGACCUGUCAGUUUAACAGAGCUGGGAAACGAAGAGGUAAGUGUGUUUCAUCUUACUAUGAACACUGGUAUUUUGACAAAAGAAGAGAUAAAGUGAGUUUCUUCAUUAUCAUGGUUUCUUUCAGAGUAUAACUUAUGAACAAAUCAAAACCUAUUUUUUACUAGAUUUUCAUGUACUCUUUUUUUGGAUGAUGAGUAACUUAAAAUCAUACGGCUAGUACAGUAUGGAACAUGAAUGCUUUGUUCAGAUUUUCAGAUGUGUGCUGGCAGUUCAAGUCUGGCAGCUGAAGUGAACAGUCAUGAUUUUGUUGGAGCUCCAACAAUAUGCUAGAAGGUAAGUAACUAUGUUUAAUUUGCAUUGCAUGUUUUCCUAUGUUUCAGACUUUUAAACAGAGAUGUCAUGAUGACUGGAGUUGAGCACAGGGCAGUGAUAAAGUAAAAGGUAAGUACUUUUGACUGAAUGUUUGUUCUAUGCAUGUUUUGCUAUAAUACAUUCCAGGAGUGCUUAUGCAGUGAUGAUUUGACAGUUGAGUGAAAGUGGAGCCAUGCAGUCUUGAUUUUGAAGCUUCUCAACAAGCCUUGAAGGUAAGGUUAGAAUGACUCAAUGUUAGUGAAUUAUUUAAAAAAAUAUACUGUCAGUGAAGUACUGUCAGUUGCAUUUGGACAGUUGAGCAGAACAGACGUAGCUGUAAGAGCUCUCAUAUCUGUUGUGUAAAACUGUCCUAAUGAUAUGUUAUGCUUGUUUGUUUCUGUUGUACUAUUUUUCAGAUACGUUUGGCAGUGAAGGAUUGAAAGCUGACAUGAACAGAAAAAAGAUGCUGUUGGCAGUGAUGGGUUUGGAAGCUGGCAUGAACAGAAAAGCAAACAUAUGGUGAGUACAAAAUAGUUUUUAUAUGGUAUGUUUUGUGCAUGCUUCUAUGUUUCAGAUGUACUUGCAGUCAACAACGAAGAUGAUUCAAGAAGAGAAACAUUGUUGUGAUGUGAAUAGAACGUUCAAAUAGGGUAAGUGUAACAAUUGUGGUAGUUUGAUUUGUACCAUGUGUGUAUUGCUAUGUUUCAGAUUGCACAUGCAGAGAUGGUUUCCUACUGGGUGUCAAUAGAAGGGACACGAGUAAAAACGAUUUCAACUGCUAAACCACAAUUCAAGAAGUUGGGUACGUUUUAAGUCAUUGAUUUGAGGUGUACAAUGUGUUCUUUACUUUGUUGCAGAUUCGAGUCACUGGUUUACACAUGGAAGAAGAUUUCCACCUCUGUGACACAUCUUUACAAAAGCAAGUAGAGGGCCAGAUGUCGAGCAGUACAGAUGUGUUUCUUGGAGGGAGCUCCCAAACCGUGAGUACAAGUAUUUGAUAUUUAGAAGUCUAUGUGAAAGAUAAUAGCAAUGGUAGAAUCUAUCAGUACUUGUGUUUAGAAAUGCUGAUGUGUGACGGUUAACUGAAAAGGGUAAAUGCUAGCCAGUACUUACACCUGAGCAAACGUGGGAUGUCGAACUAACUGAUGAUGUACUAUGAUGGUGAACACUUACUUUGUGUAUCGAAAUGCUUUUGUUGAUAUGAGUGUGAGCUUAAUACAGCAAUGUUUGAGUAAUACAAAAAAUGUAUGUACUCUUUUGUGGUCGCCAGUUGUCUGUGAUAUGUAUAGUAAAAAAAACACAACACAAAGCUAUGAAGCAUACAAUUGUUUUAAGAUUUUAUCAAUGAUUGUGUACUAUGCAUGUUUUGAUUUAGUUCGUUUCAGAUAUGACAUGACCUGAAUAUUUGACAGUCGAACGGAGCUGAGCAUUGCAGAAAAGGUCUCAUAGUAGCCUCAACAGUGAAUAAGGAUAUCAACUGCUGUGACUAAACUGUUGAAGAAGGGUAAGUGGAACAAUGUGUUUGUUUUAUAAGUACCAUGUAUGCUUUAUUUUGCUCUGUUUCAGAGUAGACAUACAAACAGUGUCUUGCUUUGCAUGCUAUUUUUUAGGUCUCUCAUGCAGUGAGGGAAAAGAAGAAGAUUUCAAUAAAGAAUCACUGCUGCAACUCAGCUCUUUAAACAAGGUAAGUGUUUACUAUGUUGUAUACAAAAUGUUUCUCUUUCUUACUAUGUUUCAGGUUAACAUUGCAGAGAUGUUUUGACAGCUUGUGACAGAAAAGAAAUUCAGCAGCUGUGUCUUGACUGUAGCCACAAGGUAAGUCGAAACAAAUAUACUGGUUUGUAUGUUGUGUUGUUAUGCCCUUCUAUGUUUCAGACUUACAUUGCUGUGACUGUUCCACAGUGGGUCAAAAAAAAGACGAAUACAGGUUUCAAGAAGAAAAUUGGCUGUUAAAACUCUGCACAAAAUAUGAGGUAAGUGAACUACUCUUUUGGUUUGUGUUGUGCUUUGUUCUGCUUAACUAUUUUUCAGAUUUGAGUGGUGGGUCGUUACAGAGCAGACUUUUUGACAAGUGAGAAGUUGAGAAACAGAGAAUGAUUUAAGAUCAGCUAGGUAAGUCUUGAUUAUUAUGCAUUGCUAAAUGUUGUUUUUUAUUUCAGUAUGGCUGUGGUAAGUACACUAACUUUCUAUAAUUUAAUAUUGAACUGCUUUGAUAACUUGUAUCCUGCUAUGCAAUGCUUAAUAUAUAUUUUUCAUUUCAGUAUGGCUGUGGUAAGUACACAAACUUUCUUUAAUUUUCACAUUGAACUGUUUUGAUGACUUGUAUCCUGCUAUGCAAAAUGUCUUUUUUUUAUUUCAGUAGCCUGUUGGUAAGUACGCUAACUUUCUAUAAUUUCAUAGUGAAUUGUUUUGAUGACCUGUAUUCUGCAUUGUAAAAUGUGUUUCUUUUUCAUUUCAGUAUGGCUGUGGUAAGUACAAUUGCCUUUCAUAUUGAACUGUUUUGAUGACCUGUAUUUUGCAUUGUAAAAUGUGUUUCUUUUUCAUUUCAGUAUGGCUGUGGUAAGUACACAAACUUUCUUUAAUUUUCAUAUUGAACUGUUUUGAUGACUUGUAUUCUGCUAUACAAAAUGUGUUUUUAUCAGUUCAGUUGCCUGAUGGUAAGUACAAUUUGCUUCUUUAAAUUGCAUGUUGAAAUAUAUUUGAUGACUUUUGUUCUGCUAUGCUCUUUUUCAUUUCAGUUGGGCAGAUGUAAGUACACUUCAUUUAUGUAAAAACUGAAUAUGAUUGUUGUGCUAUACAAAAUGUGCUUUUCUCAAUUUCGGGUCAGCAAUGGUAAGUAGAUUGUGUUUCUUUAUGUAUAAUUUUGUAUACAUAUUGUUUUUUUCAUCAUAGCAUGUUUUUCAUAUUUAUGCUUUGUGUAAGUAAAAUGUUCAUAAAUCAUUCUUAUCUUAAAACUAAAAAUGUAUUGUGCUAUGCAAAAUGUCUGUAUGAUUUCAGUUGCCAGAGGUGAGUACCAUUACAGUUGAAAAGUUAGUUUUGUUUAGUUCAAGUUUUGGUUCACAGUUCUGUUUGUUAUUUGGCAAAAUUUACAUGUAUGCAUUGAGUCUUGAUUUCAGCUCGAUUGUGGACUGAAGAAGAUUGUCCGCAGAGGGAUUGGAUACAAAAUACAAAGUAAGUACUGAGUUUCUUACUAAAAGUUUUGAGUUGUAUUCAUUGUGUGUUAAUAUGCUAUGAUUGCUAUGAACAUGACUUUUGUAUUUCAGCGAAGACAACAUAGGUAAGUAAAAUUGUUAUCUGUUUCAUGUUUACUGUUACAGUUCAAUAUUGUGUUUAUAAAUUGUAAGUUGUACAAACACAUUCAAAAGUUUCUGAUCAUGCUUUCGAUUUCAUUUCAGCUUUACUGCUGGACGAGUGUUCUCUACUACUAGACGUGUCAGGUUUACUACCAGGCGAGCAGUGACAACAAGGCGCCUUUGUGGAAACAACACAACAAAAAACUGUACUGCUAGACGAGCAGUGACAGAAAGGCGCCUGAACAUGCAACACAAAACAAAAAAUGCCAAUAUCCAAACCUUGAUGUGGACACCGAGUAGUCAAUACAUACGUGUGGCGUAUAGCUGCGACAAAACCGUGGGUCCAUCGCACCGAUAACUUGAACAUUGGCCCGUGUAUGGACAUCAGUGCAACUUUGUGAAUCCAUGUAACUUUGUGAAUCCAUGUAACAUUGCGAAUGUGUGUCGAUCGAAAAAUGUGUACAUUCUGCACUGAAACGAACUCGGUGUUGCAAGUGGCAAGUGUUGACAGUGUGUAUGUUUAUGUUUAUGUUUUUACAUGAAAAAUAAAGGAGAUUGUUGUUUUA